CCUGUGAACUCGUCUGUGUUAUAGUCUAUAAUCCUAUAACUCAGUAAGUUCACAUGGUC
rnacentral:pre_miRNA from 1 species